UCCAACUCAGAGCUUCAACAUGCGUACUUUGACACAAAGUAUGUGAUACUAAGUGUUACAACCAACACGGUUCACAUAUCAAAAGCAUGGAUCCCUUUAUGCAUAUCAAAACAUUCAUAAGUAUCACUCAUAUCAAUCAACAUAAACAUCAUACAUUCCAACACAUUCAUACAUAAACAUCUACAUUCCAACACAUUCAUACAUAAACAUCAUACAUUCCAACACAUCCAUACAUAAGCCAAUUGUGCUUCGAAAGGGUUCAACACACUUUGUGUCAUUCGACACUUGCUACAAUGUGCCUCGACACCUUGCCCUUAUUCUCACCAACUAAGUGAUGAAGGAACUCACCUUCGUGCCACUAACUAGGUGAUGAAAUGUACAACCCGUACUCUCAUUCAUGCCACCAACCAGGUGAUGAAAUGUACAACCGUACUCUAAUAUUAUUUGGCAACUUGCCACUCUUAUCACCAACUAGGUGAAGAAGCAACUUACCUUUGUGCCACCAACCAGGUGAUGAAAUGUACAACCCGUACUCUAAUAUUAUUUGGCAACUUGCCACUCUUAUCACCAACCAAGUGAAGAAGGAACUCAUCUUCAUGCGACUAACCAGAUGAUGAAAUGUACAACUCGUACUCUAAUAGUAUUUGGCAACUUGCCACUCUUAUCACCAAUCAGGUGAAGAAGGAACUCAUCUUCAUGCCACCAACCAGGUGAUGAAAUGUGAAGAAGGAACUCAUCUUCGUGCCACCAACCAGGUGAUGAAAUGUGAUGAAAGGUGAUGAAGGCACUCACCUUCGUACCACUAACCAAGUGAUGAAAGCAACCCACCAUUCAUUCCACCAACCAGAAGACGAGUGGUACAACUUGUACAUGUGAACUCCUAGCAUUCACAAAUAAUCAAAAACCCUAAAGCUUUUCAACUCAACUAGGGGAGCACUUAUGCCUAACAAGAGCUAUAGUCACCAACAAAGUCUUAUUACAAGCCAACAAUGGCUUCAGUGCAUGGUAUAUGAAGAUCAAGCUCUUCAGCCUUCUUACAUUUGCUUCAGACAUUUCUCCUCUGUAACAAUGCAAACACCACAACUCAUAGAAAGUUUAACACACUCUUGAUCAAGACUGUUCGAAGCAAAUUCAAUUUAUAUGGUUCAUCCAAACCUUUGACUAUUACAAGGUAUGGCUUGCAUCACAAUCUCUUGCUCAAUAAUGUGGAAGAAAAAUUUGUAUACGUUGUCUCUCCCACAUUUUCAAAUUUCUAGUUUUCCCAAAUGAAAAAAGAAAAAAAAAAGAAAAAAAAGAGGAAAUUGGGAAAUUCAACAAAGUUUUAUCAAUGGAGGACAACUACAAAUUUUCAAAAGCUUCACACACUCUUGAUCGAGACAGUGUGAAGCAAAACCAAUAUAUGGUACCAACAAGAGCUUCAUCAAAAGAGUUCAACCACAAUUCUCAAAAGCUUCACACACUCUUGAUCAAGACAGUGUGAAGCCAAAACAAAUUACAGGAGCUUCAUCAAUGAAAGGCAACCACAAUUCUCAAAAGCUUCACAUGUUAUUGAUCAAGACAGUGUGAAGCAAAACCAAUUUAUGGUGCCAACAAAAGCUUCAUUAAUGGAGGGCAACUACAAUUCUCAAAAGCUUCACACACUCUUGAUCAAGACAGUUUGAAGCAAAACCAAUUUAUGGUGCCAACAAAAGCUUCAUCAAAGGAGUUCAACCACAAUUCUCAAAAGCUUCACACUCUUGAUC
rnacentral:lncRNA from 1 species